rnacentral:rRNA from 1 species
GAACCUUACCUGGGCUCGAAAUGCUACGGACAGUCUGUGAAAGCAGAUCUUCUCGCAAGAGAUCGUAGUAUAGGUGCUGCAUGGCUGUCGUCAGCUCGUGUCGUGAGAUGUUGGGUUAAGUCCCGCAACGAGCGCAACCCUUGUCCUGUGUUGCCACUCCCGUAAGGGAAGCACUCUCAGGAGACCGCCAGCGAUAAGUUGGAGGAAGGUGGGGAUGAUGUCAAGUCAUCAUGGCCUUUAUGUCCAGGGCUACACACGUGCUACAAUGGACGGUACAAAGCGCUGCAAACCCGCGAGGGGGAGCCAAUCGCAAAAAACCGUUCUCAGUUCGGAUCGCAGGCUGCAACUCGCCUGCGUGAAGCUGGAAUCGCUAGUAAUGGCGUAUCAGAACGAUGCCGUGAAUACGUUCCCGGGCCUUGUCACACCGA